GACGAACCGUGCAAACGUUGUUCGGAAUCACUGGGCUUAAAGGGCGCGUAGGCGGGCAAGCAAGUCGAAGGUGAAAUCCCACGGCUCAACCGUGGAAGUGCCUCCGAUACUGCUUGUCUUGAGGGAGAUAGGGGCGUGCGGAACUUCCGGUGGAGCGGUGAAAUGCGUAGAUAUCGGAAGGAACACCGGUGGCGAAGGCGGCCCACUGGAUCGGUACUGACGCUGAGGUGCGAAAGCGUGGGGAGCAAACAGG
rnacentral:rRNA from 1 species